GCUGGGCAUGGUGGCUCAUGCCUAUAAUCCCAGCACAUUGGGAGGCGGAGGCAGGAGGAUUACUUGAGCCCAGGAGUUCCAGGGUGCAGUGAACCAUGAUCAUGCCACUGCACUCUAGCCUGGGCGAUAGAGCGAGACCCUGUCUCAA
rnacentral:SRP_RNA from 1 species